GGGACAGGAAAAAAGGCUGAGUUUGGAGGGGAAUUGCUCACCGCUUUUGCAAAGUGUCUGUGGAAUUAGACUGUGAGUGAGAAUGUGUAUGUGUGUGUUUUUGUUUUCAUCUUUCCUUUUUUUUUUUUUCUUUUUCGUCCAUGACAGAAGGAGAAGGCUGAAGAGGGCAAUCUUUGAGUCAGGGGAGGAGUAUUUUUUUCAUAUAUAAAAGUAUAUACGUGUGUGUGUACGCUGAGAAAAUUAAUAUGUAUUUGCUUUAAGCCUCCCCUGCCUCAGCGAUUUCUUGCUGACGUGCACUGAAAUGCACAGAAUAUCCAGGUGAUGCAGAAACAGUGAAGGACAUGACUCCAGAGAAAACACACACACACACACACAUGCACACACACACUCAUAUAAAAUACCCUGAGGCUGUGUGUUUCUCCUCACUACAGCAGCCAUGCUCCUAUCAAGCCUGAUAUCUGUCCUGUUCACUAAAGCAUGUGACAGCUUUGCAUUCUUACAAGACAUGAUAAAUCUGACUUUACAAGGCGGAGAUCCACUUAUGGACUCUAAUCCCAGGGAUCCUUCAUGUUUGAGAGGUUCGUGUUUGCGCGCAGGAUACUGAUGCAGAAGCGACUAAAAUGUCAUGUCAUCACUUUACAUGUGAUGUCACAUGUGCAAAAUAAUCAGACUUAUUGCAUGACAUGUUUUUGGUGCAACGGGCAGAUCAUUACAGUUGCAUGUUGUAUGCAGGAUUACAAAGUAUUUGCUAGCUGAUUACACAGACACGCUCAGAGUGUAAUUCUGUGCAAACAAUUUAGUGAAGAUGUGCAGAAAAGUCUGAUUUUUGUCACCCAUGAACGGGACUUGAUCUUUAACUUUUGUUUACACAAAGUCUUCCUCCCUUGACUGAACAGCAAAAGCUUCAGGGAAACUAUUUAACUCUUCAUCCUUCAAUCUGCAGAGAGUGCAAGAGUAUACAAAAUUGCAAGCUGGCUAAUAUAUUUAGUUGUUUUUGAGACUGUGCUGUAAAAUAUAUGUGUGUGUGUGUGUAGGUUUGUGUGUGAUUCACGCAUACUUCCCUUAACCUGCCUUGCCAGCAGUGAGUCGGUUGUGGCUUCACUCUGUCUUGACUCCUCUCCCUCCAGGCUCCCAAAUGAUAGGCUGACCUUUCCACCUCGGCCAGGACUGCAGCGUCACUCUCAGCGUGAACUGAAAACUCAUCUCCUGGCUAAACACUUCAUAUUGCUCUCUGCUCAGCUCAGCUUCUGAACUCACCUCUGAUUUGGAUGCUGCAUGACAAAAAGGUCAGAAUGUGCAGUCUUGAGACACAUCCCGGUGUUUGUAGAAUUUACUAUAUUUUGUUUGUAAUUUGGAAAAGCAGACAUGACGAAUGACGCGUAAUUUUUCAAUCAUAAAGAUAGAUAAAGGACAAUACAGGGUAAAUUAAUACCUUACACGUAACUCAAUUUGUCUUGAAAACUGAAUAAUGCCAGUACUCCUUUGUGUCAGCAGCACUGUGUCUAUUUUUGUGUGAUUUUUCUCCUCCUUGUCUGAGUCCCUGGGCAUUUUCUUUUCCAUCCAGGCAUGAAGACAGGAGCCUGUCGAAACCUCAGCUGGAGUCCAUCGAAGGCUGUGUGGCCCGGUCCUGCCCCCAGCAUGGCAGGUCUGCAACAGAGAAACCAUGGAGGAAUAUCCUUUUUCCUUAGGGAAGACGAUCAAGCUCCUUUGGAGCUGACAAGUUACCCAGAGGUGAAAGACAGGAGGAAGAAGAGAGUCAGGAGUAAGUUAUCAAAUCUAAUGUGUUUCUGUUGUGUAUUAAAAUUCUCUCUUGCUCCAUUAAGGAGAGUGAAUGGAUUAGAAGUGCUUUUUCACCAGGUGGAGGUAGAUUGAGGAAAGCCAAAGAACAGACAGCAAAGACAACAGAUUUUUUUCAUAGGGGCCUGUGAGGUUAAGACAGGAAAAGUGGGAGGAAGUGGAGUUGAUCUGACAGCAAAAUUGUUUGGUUUGAGGGACAGACAGAGACAGAGAAGAGUUUACAAAGAGUGCAGAGUGAAAUGAGACAAUCAUUAGUUAGCAUUACAAGUCUAAAGGCAAGACAGACACUUAGGCAAGCUGAGGAGAAGCAGUGUGAGACAGGGUGGUCUAUUACGGGUAUACAACACCAAAAGACAACCCAUCACCUCGAGAAGUCAGGGUGGGGAGCUCAGAGACUGGUCUAAGGAGCAAACAUGCACCAUAGAGGCAAGCCAAUGAUAACAGCCUUCAUAGAUGAGUCAGUCUCACCAAUUCUUGCAACAGACGUCAAAGCUUGGAAAACAUGAAAUGGAUGAGCUUUUGUUGGAAGCUGAUUUGGAAGCAUUCAUGAACAAACACAUAGAUGAUGUUCAUGUGUUUAACAGAUAUGACACACUCUGUAGUCAGUGUAGUGACCCGAUAGCAAUAAUCGUGCCACUCAAAGACGGGAAAAAUCCAUAAGCUCACGUAUUCAAAGCCAGGAAAGACCGUAUCAGACAGACUGAGGUUUAGGUGCAAGACAAGGGUUAGGGAUAGACUAACAGCAUCAACUAUAUAUACUAUGGACAACUAGGCUCCACCUUCUGUUAUUAUACAAAGUUGAAGCUGAAUUGUUCUCGGUAUUUCCAGGAUUUUCUCCACUUCCUGGAACCACCACUUGCACAGUAGCAUUGUAUGUGUUGGAUGGAUGAAUCACCAAGAGUCGCUGUAACGAUGCUCUGCUCAAACAGUGUAUCCGCGGGUGAGCUACACGAUCUUCAUAUACCCAUAGGCUGUAUAAGAAUAAGAAUGAGAAUAACUGUAUUGAUCCCCGAAGGGAAAUCCAAUUGUCUCUCAUUUGUCAUGUCUCUAAAAGUUAUCCACUAUUCACAGAAUAGUUGUAAAGUCUAAUGGCUGUAUCAAGUGUCAAUUACAGAAAACAUGAACCCCCUAAUAACGUUUUAUAAUGGAGCUGCACAGAAAAAAAAAAAAAAACUUGAGCACAAACCAGUCUUACAAUAACGGAAAUAUCAACAUCACAAGCAGGGGGAGAAAAUUUAUAUUUUGUGUAAUUAAUUUCUGAAGUUUGUCCACAGCUUUAUGGUGAUUGCUGGAGGAGGCGGGAUUUAUGACCUAUACUGCAGCACGUCACCAGAAGGUGCUGUUCUUGCAGUGGCUUCACCCAGUGAGGAGGCAGAUGCUUUCCAUUCUAUAUACAGUCCAUGGUAAACAGUCUGCAACAGCCCGAAUGAUCAUCAUCAAGAGAAAGGUGCACGACUUCAAAAACACAAGCAAAUGUCCAGAACAAACACAAUGAUGGAAACACGCAACAGAUGAAAAAAACGUGCUGCGAAAAGCCAAUACAUCUGCAUUCAGAAGUACUGCAAUUACACAAAUGACACAAAGCAAAAACGACAAAAAAAGUCUCAUUUUUAUUGAUGGGCAGUGGCAUCUGGUUUGUAGUUUAAUUUUAGUUUUGAAAAAUAUACUUAGCCUCUUUCUGUUUAGGCUCCCAACAACACUUAAAGAUGGCAUUUAUAUAAACUUUCCACUCUGUGCAGGUGACAUGUAUUUGCCUCCAAUUUAACCUUUAUUUAUUUAUUUAUUUAUUUGCCUCCAGCUUAUACUUUGUGAUGUCUGCCCCAAAAGGGACUAUUAAUUUCUGCUGCUUCCACAGAAUUAAUAAGCAAAAGGCCACUGAGAUGAGUGGCAGGGGACUAUUCAAAGUAACUAAUUACUAUUAUAAUAGAUCAACUCAAUUAGAGAUUCAGUUAUGAGUAAAUGCUGCUAUUUCAACAUUUUGGUAAUGUGCCCAUAACUCUUAGACACGUUAGCUGCCUGGAUCUUUUGAUCAGUCUUAGCAUGUAUCCCUCAAAGAAAAACACUUCCUCUUAAAAUACUGUAUGUCUGACAUACCAUUUGACAUAGAUUUAUGCUAGAAAUUUUAGAAGUGUUUUAUUUUUUUGUGACUCAAAUUUGUGAAUUUGACCGUAAAUUUGAGCUUGGAUUUGAUGUUAAAAGGUUAAACAUAUUUAACCUUAGCUUGUCCUUUCUGGUCAUGUUUAAAGUUUAUUUAUCCUUUGCUAUGUGCACCUGCAUUGCUUUCGUCCUCUAAUUGUGUCCUUAAAUAAACCCCAGAGAGCUUGAAAUUAUUGUAAAUUAUGCAAAAAUGAUGAAUGUAUCACCUUGCACGGUUAUAAAUAUUAAAGCCAAUAACUUAUAAAGGCGAUAAUUGCAUCCCUCUUUUAGCUCAGCCGCAGAAAGAUGGUUACAAGUACACUAAAGGUCAGGCUCUUAUAGAGGAAACAGAUGCAUAAUGAAAUCACAACAUAUUUCACUGUGAGCCAAUUGAGCCUACAGGAGGAAGUCAGGAGGUGUGUGUGUGUGUGUGUGUGUGUGUGUGUGUGUGUGUGUGUGUGUGUGUGUGUGUGUGUGUGUGUGUGUGUUUGGCUUUCCAUGUUUUUUUUGUGGGAAAAGCAAUAAAGCUGCUUAUCUCCUAGCAGCACAGAAAGAUAGUACAGUGAAGUGAACAUAAAACAUACAGUAAAGCUCCUCAUCUAUGAAGAAAAUCAAGUAAAAGUAAACUGGGCGUGAAUCCACAACACUAAUCUGUCAUGUGAAACACUCUGGGUUUCUUACAGUGCAAUGUCACAUGAAGUUAUCCUCAUUCCCCAACCCCCUUGCUCCAACAUCCGCCCUCUUGCCUCUAGCUGCCAGUCACCCGUGGGCCCCCGACCUCCAACCUCCAACCCAAGCCAGCUACACAUCCCACCCUGCCGCUCCAUAUCACGACUUAUCCAUUCACGCAGCAUUACGUAUUAUGCAAGAAGUAUGUAUUUAUGUAUAUGAGGGUCUUCUGGAAGAAGAGCGUGGAGGGAAUUUCUGACAAACUCUGAAGUUGCUGUCCCUUAAGCUCCAGUGUCACGCCACCAACCUGCUGGGUUAUAUAUCAUACAGCCAAAGCAGAGAGUACAAUACAAAACAUCAUUAAUAUGAAAAUCAUUAAUAUGGAUCUAGGAGCAGAGAGAGCACAUCCUGAAAUAAUGAGAAAGCCAUGAUUACUAAUGCUGUAGCUCUACAUUUAUUAUUAAUCACUAAAAAAUAAGUAGGGGAAACACUGUUCGUGAAAACAGAGGGACAUGUCUGUAAAAAGAAGGAUUCAUUUACAUUUCUAGAGCUUUAACGGUAAAUCUUUACUGAUCCAUACCACAAAGCAUCUUCAGCUCAGGAUUCAUUUUUGAUUAAAGUUCUGCUUAAUUUUGCCUCUCUAAGAAAAUAACGUUUUCAUUUGACCUGCUGUGAAAUCUUUGGAGAUCCGAGGAUAAGUCAACCACCUGAAAGCACGCCUGGAUUUUCAAAAAAAAUGUUCAAAAUUUCUCCUGUGAGAUUGAAGGUGAGAGAGGCAGGGAGAGAAACAGUGAAGUGGGGUGCAAAGGGGAGCGACCCAAAAAGCACUCGUACCCUCCCUCCUUGCAGCGUACAGCAUAGCAGUUAAUUUAAAUUCUGCAAGGAGACAACCCAUAAAUCACCUCCAUUCUGACUAAUGGCUUCUGCAACUGAGGGAAAACUCUUGCCUCUCUACCUGGAGACAUCCUGCACUGCAAAAAAAAUAUAGGCUAGGUUUGUGAGUAUGGGGUGUGUGUUGUACUCUAUAUACCGUGUAUAGGAGUGUUUCACUCAGACAGACAGUUUUUGAAGGAGUCAGCAGCCUGACUUACCUCCCCACAUGUGCUGCUUUCACUGGAGGCAGAAAUCCCCCUGUGUUGCUCCAUAAUUAGCCCCCAUAACUGCAACACACUGACGUCAGAAGUGUGUGACACUAAACUAACCUUGGACUGGAUUCCAAAAAAAACAUCACCCUGGGUUACUGCAAAACUCAGCUCACCCAGAUUUGUGACUCAUGUGAGUAAUAAACCUGUCUGUAAAUAUAUUUCCUCAUAUCGUGAAAGUGACACCUAAGAGUUUGUAUGAAGUUUGUUUCUGGUUAUUACACUGCAGAUAUUUUAAAGUAAUAUUUUAUCAUUUUUUCUGCAGGGGGAAGCCAAGUUAAAGAAUUAUUGAGGACUAUCACUGUAUAAGGAUUCCCCCUCUCUCCUGGAUUUGCAUUCGACUGUGACGCAACAUCACAGGUGCAGCUCACAGACUACAACCUGCUGGAAACAAGAACAUUUUGAGUCUCAUUUUGUUGAAGUCUCAGUCCAGUUUUUUUCAUUCUGGCACACCAGCAAUGUAAUAGUGUUCUGAAUUUGAUAUUAUCUGCCUUUGUUUGCAGGGAAUUGGUCUGCGAGACACCACUGAAUCAAAUGGAUACUGAAGUAAAACUAAAAUGGAGUAAGUUUUGAAGCUUUGGGGGGCAUCUGUUUUUACUUUCUCUGAGACAUUUAAGGAUAAAUGAGCAUUAGACAAUUUUAUGAAUGUGGUGCUGUUUGACUAAGAUAUAACUUAAAGAUGUUCAGUUUUGACACGUGAGGCUCCUCAUAUCCCCUCUCUCCACACCAGGCUGUUGUAGUUAUUGCAUUAUGAAGUGGACCAAAUGGUAACACUUUACAAUUCUAUUCAACUCAUAAGCAUUUAUGCUCAGUUUUAUUCAGUUAAUCAUGAGUUGAUGCAUCAUUGAUUACCACAUCAUCAAUUUAUUAGGAGGUUAUGAUAUCACUGACAGUCUGAAUAUAUACAGCUUUCUGUUACUUCAUUUACUAUUUGAUUAAUCUAGUAUUAACUAAUGCUGUUAACUCAUGGGUUGACAGGGAAUAUAUUUCCCCAAAUAUCAGUGAGCCCACAUUCUGUUUUUUCUUGAUUAUGUUUGAGUAUAAAUAGAGAGUUUACCCAAAAUGACCACAAUUGUGAUGCUAAUUCUGAUAAGCCAUUAAUAGUGAAUUCUGUAAAUUGUAAUUUACAGUAUGUUUUGGCAAACCAAGCUAAAAAGCCGAGAGUUAAAUAUGGGGUUUUGAGAUAGUAGAGACGGCUUAAAUGACUACACCUAAUGUUAGCAAAACUGCUGCAUUCAUAAGUACUGAACUCAUUAGCUUGAUGCUAACAUAUACAGUAAAUUAACAUUAAGCUGCCAGCAGAAUUAGCAUCAAGACUGAAAAAUAAAUGACAAAAAAAAAAAAAUUACUUGAAUGCACAACACCAUAUUAUAAAAUAUUAUGAGAGUACAGUCAUAAAAAAGUCAUAAUAUAAGAGAAUAAAGUUGCAGCAAAGUCAUUGUGUAAGAGAAUACAGUCAGAUUUUUCAUUGUGCAGAGUUGAAUUAAAGUUAUAAUUUAGGAAAAUCAUACAAUCAAUAGAACCAUUUAGUCCUAGUAUAGUAAAAGAAAAAAAGAAUUGUGAUAAAGUAAUAUGAUGAAAAUGAAGUCUUUGUAUCAUUAAAAUAUAAGAAUAAAGUCAAGAGUGAUGACAAUAAAGUCGUAGUUUUGUUGUCUAGGUCAGUGGUUCUCAAGGCCAGUCCUUGAGGCCCAAUGUGCUGCAUGUUUUGGAUGUUUCCCUGCUCCAACACACCUGAUUCAAUGAUCAGCUCGUUAUUAAGCCAUUACAGAUAACGAGCUAAUCAUUUGAAUCAGGUGUGUUGAAGGAAGGAAACAUCCAAAACAUGCGGGACAGUGGGCCUUGAGGACUGGACUUGAGAAUCACUGGUCUGGGUUAACAGCUGGCCUGUUUUGAAUGGGAGAGACUAUCAGUGUUAUGAAUCGAACAAAGGCCAGGAUCCAAAAAUGUAGAGACAAAUGCCCAAAUUUAUUGACAAUAAACAAAAAACAAAGUGAACAACAGAAAAUUGCCACUUCCGGGAAAAGGCACGGUAGGCUCGGACUGCCACUGAAAAACACAAAACCAGAGUCAGGGAAAAGUCACUGCAGUAAGGCAAAUGGCUGGUGAAAACAAAGUUCAAAUGAUAGUGCCACAUGGGGCAAGUAGCAACUAAGGGAGUAUAAAAGGACAAAGUGCAACAGAAAUGUAAACCAAAAAUCUCCUCAACUGGAGGGAAAAAACACGAACACAAAAUCACCCUUGCUCAAGAGAAAAAUCCUAUGAAAGUAACAAAAAAAACCUCACAAACAACACAAAAAGGUAGGCUGGAUACACAGGCAGGUGAACAGGGAGCUCGGCAUGGCAAGACAUGUGUUGCAUGACUGGAUAAUCAUCCGGCACAGAGCCGACAGAGGAGCCGGCAUAUAAAGCCAGGUAAAUGACACCAACGAGAAUCAGGUGCGUGCAAUCAGUCCAGGCCAGCCCCACCUCCCGCCGUACCUCCAGCGCUGCAGAGAGAGAGAGAGAGAGGGAGAACACUCGUGCUCAUCCAGCAUCCCCAUUCACAACAGCAGUAACACACAUUAUACUGUACAUAAACUGUCUCCUCUCUUUUCUCACAGUAUUCAAAUGAAAUUAUGCCUCUAAACUCUGAAUUUGACACUUUCAUUCUCCUAACACAAAGACUUUGUUUUACAUUAUGACCUGAUUCUUGUAAUCUUUUUGUCAUUAUUCUCUUUUUUUUUCCCUUAACGUGGCCCUAACACACUGUUGUACCAUAUACACUUAUAUAUACAAGAACAUAUUUCUUUUCAAUCCAUUCUGGUGAUGAACACAUGAAUGAACAGCAUUAAUAAAUAGGCUAAUUGAUAUUAAUGGUGAACUAAUUAGUGACGGUUGAUCAGACGGUUGAUUGUAUACACUUGUUAUUAAUUGAUGAUGUUGUUCCCACACAUGCACGACAAAGUCAUACAUAUAUUUAUGAUUAACUGAGCAUUUACACAGUUAAUACUUAUGAGCAGAACUGCACUGUGUUGAUCAAAUGUUUCUGUGUGUGUGUUUUUGUGUGUGUGUUUGUGUGUCAAAGCGUGUGUUUCACACAGUGAUGUCCUGCAGUGAUGUCAGGGGGAUCCUGACACUGCAGCAGCAGAAGACAGGGUGAGCCAGGGACAGUUUGUGGCUCCUUGCUGAGGGCGAGCGGAUGCUUCUCUAUGUUUUUAGUUGCUCCACAGUUUCCUGUCAGCGACGCCCUUCGCUCCAUGGAGAGAGACAUGUUUCCCUCAGGCGCUGUUUUCUUCUUCAUUGCCCCCCUUGACCUGUCACUACUCAUUUGAUGAAACUGAUAUGACCGAUACCAAACAUGGAGCAAAGUCUCUAAAAUAAAUGUGUCCUGUGAUCUGUCUCCACACCACAUCCAGACAAAGAGAGUGAGAAAUCUUGACUUGUGGAGGUUUUUUAAGUGUGUGUGUGUGAGAGAGGGACAGAGGAGGAGAUGUUUGUGUGUAUUUCUUCACUUUCCUGCAGUAUUAAUUAUUAAUUAAAUACACAAACUUGGGGAUUUGAUUUAUUUAUGACCCUUUUCUAGUGAAUAGUUGUUCCUCAUUUCAGUCUGAUAAACAGCUCUCAUCUGUUUGUUGUUCAGUGUGGAGUGAUACCUUCUAGUAGUGACAAACAGCUGUUGUUCUGUGACCAAGUGGGCUUGAAAAAAAGAUUUACAGUCAUUAUGAAAAACACAGCAAACACCACAAGGACACACUCAAAUGGUUUUCCAGGCCUACAUACAUGGAGAGACCAGAAGAAGAUUAAAGAAUGUGCUUCCCGCUCUGUAAUCUGUUACUCUCCGUGGGCAUUUAGUCCACACACUCCACAUAAAAUGGGGCUAUCGUUGUGCACUGACCUGGAGUAACCGGCUAUGGCUAGCUUCGCCUCCUAUUCCCUCGCAGUGACAUGGAUGACCUCUGCUUGUGAUUGGGGCCUCCGAUCUCCUCCCUGUGGGUCAUACAUGUGUUUUAAAACGCAACAACACGCUUCUCUUGCAAUCUCUCUGCUGCCCACCUCCCCAGCCAUGAAGUGUAUGGACGGUUGCCGUUUCCCACUGGGAUCUGCCAGAGCUUUGGAGGAGGUUUGAAGCUGUGAGACGUGACACAUAUCACCAGGCUGGGGGAGAGUUCCAGUCCUUUGGACCAUAAGUGUCACAGCUUUCCCCUCUUGCUUCCAUGUCCAGCUGUGAAGCACAGAUAUGAGCCUCUGACUCUAAGGUCCGCCCAUUUUCCCCACCACCCGGACACCUUUACCGCCCCAGCAUCACCAGCUCUCUCCGGCAUAGGUGAUGUGGGACGCCCAAAGGAAUGCAGUCGCUGCAGUCGCUCGCAGUAACCAUCCCUUGCACUUUUCACCCGUCCCACUGACCAAUAAUGACUGUGAUCAAUCACACUUGAGGCUAAACUGCAAGAAACUCACAUGAGAUAAGCGCUGAAGUACGAACCCCCACCAGCUGAGCAGGUGUCGAGUACUUCUCAGGAAAACAACAGGAAGGGUCACUCAGAUGGCACAGCGAGAGGAGUCAUUCUUUUUCCUUUAAACCAUUUUUUACUUAAAUCCUAUCCCAUCAGACAUGAUACUUCUCUCGAGAGUUUUCCCUCUCCUCUUGGAAGCCCUGCUCCUGUAAUCCAAUCUCAUUAGCCCCUAUGAAUAGAAGUCUCUCUGUGUGAAUCCAUUAAGAAGGCUUCCCUGUGGCUCUCUCUCUGUAAUCUCUCUAACCCUGUGGGAUUAAUCACCCACGGAGAACUGAAAUCGAUCCAUUUAAUCACUAAAAGAUGUGACAAAAACGCUGCAACUUGGGGAUGUAGUGGAAAAUUAUUGUCCAAUUGAUAUUCAUUGGAUAGAGAGAGGAGAGCACUGAAAAAAAGAGGGAAAGACCUACAGAAAACAGCACUCUGUGGCACUAUAAUGAGGUAAUCAUUCCACUUAUUUGUGCUACGAAUCUGCUCAUAGAAAAGAGGCUUUUUAUUUGUGCAGGAAACUCGUGGUGUAAAGGGGAUCCGAAUAAAAAACAAAAACACAUCAAUGAUUAAGACUAAAAAAGCAAAGAAAAUGAGUUUGACCAACACAUUCCUGUCAUUUAUUUCAAACAAACAAGGCUUUUUAUGGAGUAGAUCCGGUUUAGUGCCACUCACAAUGUUGGAGUAUCAGCAUGUUCAGCAGAGGUGUGUGUGUCUGAGAAACGAGGCCAGAGUGAGCUGAGAAGUGCUGUAACGUUUAAGGUUUGAUGAUGCCUCCAUAAGACCAUAAUGAGAAGGAAUGAGGGUCGGCGGGCGACGUUAACCCACUAAUAAAAUCUGCCUCCCUUUAAAGGGUGUGAGAAAACCACAAUUACCCCCCUGACAUUUUUUUACUGCAUGAUUUAUGAACUGAAUAUUGCAUCUCCCUCUCUAACCCUCAUUCUGGCUGCCGAGUAAUAAAGGGGAGUUAAGGGGCAGUAUCGAUUGGCUAAAAAGUAGUCUUUGAUUCGCCACAGAUCGGUGGAUGAAUGGAGAGGAAAGGAAAGGAAGGGAAAGGAAAAGAAAAAGGAAAGGAAAGAGAGAUAUUGACGAGUUUUUUCUACCCUACAGCCCUCUACCAUGCAGCCCCCUGGCUGUCUGGACACCCGCCACGUGUGAACAAGCUUUCAGCUCACAUCAUCUUCUCCACUUCCACCUAUAAUUGGCCAUAUGUGUCACCAGCACCCCGCUGCC